CCAGACUGGAGGAGAGACAGAGAAACAACGGCGACCAUACACCACAACAUCAGGCCUUUGAGUGCCAUCACAGACUGACCGACGCAGUGCA